GCCCCAGAUUUCAUCCUUUCCACAUCCUUCUCGAUUUUAUAAAUAACCAUCAUCUCCCCUCCGUUUCUAAAGCCCCUUUCUCUAAGCUUGAGACUCUCUGCUCUUAAACCUCCCUUUAUAGAACAGGCAACAGAUUGCUUUUGUCUGACCGGGGAGCAGCUCAAACAGCUGAAAACAUUCAGACUGCUGCAGGCAGACUCUUCAAGGACUUGUUUUUGAGGCUAAGUGGACUUAGAUAACAGCUGCGUCUGCCUCCGACAAACAAUUCUCCCCAUCAUCUUAGCUUCCCGAGUCUGGGGAGCUAUAGACGGAACAGGAAGAGCUCAGAUCAGCACAGAACGGCAUUCAGACCACCGGCCCUUUUAUAAAAGUAAGGUUUCUGGUCCUCAUGAUCUUGGAGAGAAGGCUGAUAGGCAGGCCAGUUGCUGCUGGCGGAACUGUGGGUCCAGUAAUGAUGGCUAAGAGAUUGAAACUGGUGAACUAGAAGACUAGAGAACCAGGCAGAGGGCCUUCUCGGUGGUGGCCCCCACCCUGUGGAUUACCCUCCCAUCAGAUGUCAAGGAAAUAAACAACUAUCUGACUUUUAGAAGACAUCUGAAGGCAGCCCUGUUUAGGGAAGUUUUUAAUGUUUGAUGUUUUAUCGUGUUUUUAAUAUUCUGUUGGGAGCCGCCCAGAGUGGCUGGGGAAACCCAGCCAGAUGGGCAGGGUAUAAAUAAAUAAAUUAUUAUUAUUAUUAUUAUUCCCCUUCAUCAAUGGCCUGACAAUAUGACAAUAUUAGCAACGUAUGAAUGAACCGCAUACAGAAGCAACCUUUCUUUGGAUAAAUAUAACAAUAUUUGGAAUGACUUUACAAAGAAUAUAUUAGGUUAUUGAUAAAUAUAUUUCUACCAGGGUAAUAGGACUAAGCACAUAUGUAUUGAGCAUUUUCCCUUCAUUUCUAUUUUUAUCUGCGUUUUUCUUCCUUCCUUUUCCUUUUAAUCACUCUUUCUUUUUAUACAGGAAAUUCUUCCAAUAAAAUAUUAAUAUCAGAAAAAGAGAGCAGCGGGUUUAAAUGACAAUACAGGAGAAUUUCGAAGAUAAAGAAAAGAGAGUGAG